rnacentral:lncRNA from 1 species
GACAGUGGAGAGACCUGCCCGCCCCCAGGGGCUCUUCGGAGCCUCGUCGAAAGGCAACCCAGGCCUCCUUGGAAUGUGGCUGAUCAGGCUCCUACAGACACCAACUGACUUGAGGGAGGUUGCAGGUAGCCGAAGAGCAAGAGUUUCAGCUUGAGCCUUCACACCAGAUGGAUUUGAAUCUUAAGCGACACCAAAGGACCUUCGCAGCUUUAGGAGGAGUCCCAGCACCGCCCCUGGAAUUUCGCCCUGCUGUCUCUGUGCACUGCGGGUUGGCUUAGCACAAAAGCCACCUGACUCCACCCACCGCUCUUGGCACGUGCGGGAGUCCCAGUCCCUAACCUAGUCCUGGCCCGCCGCCACGUCCCGAGGGGAGCGACCUCUAAUCCCCGGGGCUCCUCGGAAAACCAUUAGGCAGCGGGACCGCGCCCCGCGGUUCCCACCCGGCCAUUUGGGAGCCCGCUUCCGCCGCCCCCACUUCUGUCCCUCUCCAUCGUCGCCGGAUAUCUACCGCAGCGACUGUCUGCUCGAACCCGGGACCGCAAGGCUGGCCUCUAGCCUGCCGUGCCUGUCCGGCGAGGCCAGAAGCGUUGGGUCCACGCCUUGGCUCUCUGUCACUGGCUGCCCUUGCCCUGCCAGUUUUGUGCUAGACUCUUUAUUCGCCCCCAACCCCAACCCGCGUGGCCGGCCUGGAGGAAGUGUCCA